AUGGCGGUCGGCCACGGUUUUGAGGCGCAGCUGUGCGUCCCACCGCACCACCUGCGGGUGACGGCGCACAACUCGGAGGACUUCUUCGUCAUCUUCACCCAGCCUGCCCACCACGACAACGCGGUGCGCCGCGGCACCCUGCGCGUCGACGGCGUCAACUUCAACAUCGCGCCAUGGGGCGAAAACGACCACGCGGGCCACGGCAUCUUCAACCUCCACGUCCGCUGCGUCAUCGAGCACCUGCCUCAGCAGUACUGGACCCUGGAGGGCGUCCAAGAAGUGUUCGGCGACAAGGUGCGCAUCGACCGCCUCGACAGCCGCACGCUGGAGCGGGACCACACCAAAACCUUCGCGUGCUGGGUGUGGCUCUGGGACAUGGCGUUCAUCCCCACCCGGCACACCUACUGGAAGCUCCCUCGGGGCGCCGGCCGUGUCGAGGAGAUGGAGGGCCAUUCGCCGCCCGAUCGCCGUGUCGCCCUGCCGCCCGGCGCCGAAUGCUACGACCUGCUCAUCCACGUCGACAGGGUGGAGGACUGGUCCCCCCGCUCACCGCGCUCCUCCCACUCAGCUCAGAGCGGCCUGCCCUCCUCCAACUCCGACCACGACGACAACUUGCCGCGCACCUUCCCAGGCACCUGGGUCAUGCAUGUGGAGGACGGCCAGACUGAGGAACGUCACCGCCGUCUGCAGCGCGCGCCGGUGGUGGACACGGGCUGCCGCGGUCUUCCUCGUGGCGGCCCCCGCCGCGAUGAUGACGGGACGGGAGGAGGAGGCGGCGGCCAUCGCUCCUGGAAGGACACGCUGAUUGGGCGCGGGUACGGCUCCAACGCCUCGUCAGGAGCGGACGGGGCCACUAGCAGAGUGCGCCAGCGUAGCCUCUCCCCUCCCCCCUCGCUCCGGAAGCUCCAGAAAUCCCAGCCAGCAUGGUGGCCGUGA
rnacentral:rRNA from 1 species